AUUAUUUUGGCAGAUUAGUGCAUUAAAUUUAGAAUUUAAUUAAGUGAUUUUUUAAUUACAAGUAAU
rnacentral:tRNA from 1 species